CCAGCCCACGUCACUGUAUUUUGUCGCGAAUUUCAAGCUCCUGGACUGGAAUGCUCCUGAUGCAGGACGAAUACAAGGUCAUUAUAGAUCUCCCAGGCAUAUGCAGUCCUCCUGCAGUAUGCCACAUAAUGCCCGAGAGAAUCCUGGGUCAGUCCUGGUUCAAAGCCAAUGACUGCUCUCAAAGUAAAGGUCUUCUCUUUUAGCUCCAGACUGGAGGGAAAUUCAAGCAAGGCAACUUCCUUGCAACUGCUACCAAGAGCCUUGCCUGUAUUGUUGUCCUGUGUUUUGAAUGAAGACGGACAAUGGGAAGGAUUUUCAAUUGGCCUGAGGCAGAGAGAGUCAGGAAGGCUGAGUCCCUCUUCAGCAGCAGUCUGAAGAGAAGCCAUGCCACAGGUCUGCAGGACAGCAACGUUUGGACAAACAAGUGAAACUUGCCUUGUUACUUGUUGGCUUAAACUGCAGUACUGUGAGGAGCAUUGUUUUAUCAAAUAAACACUUGGGAUAUUCCUCAUUGCGCUCUCAAUUACAGUGGAGAUGUGGCAUUGUGCAUCAAUUUGGAGAGCACCUGAGGUCAGGAGGACAGGUUUGAAUAUUUCCCCCAGCAGUUCUGCCCUCUAGCAAAUCCGCAUGUUUCCCUCAAUGAAGGAAAGAUGACGAGCAACAAACCGGUCCACACGAAUGGGUAGGCUUUCAUGCUUGAAAAGGCCUUUUUUUAUGUUUUUGAACUCUGCUUCAACAGCUGCGGAACUUGCAGUGAUGCUGGCGCUUUUGAAGAGAGGGACCAUUAUUGCUGUCCAGAGUGGCAAGUAACUUCCAAGUCUUGUUAUUUGGGGAAUAAUCUCAGGGAGGAAGUGGAUGUUGUCUCUAUCCCCAUCAGCCAUGGCAAGUGACCUGCUCUCCUCACAUAUUUCUGUCACCCACUCUCGGACAUUAGUCUGGAUGUGCUGAUUUAAUGAAUCACCUGGUUCUUGUCCCUCAACUUCCUCAUCUGAAAUGGGGACAGAUUCCUCUGCGAUUUGCGCUCUCAAGUAUUUCUUGCACUUUUCUGAUGGGAUAGGGGCUCCAGAAUUGUCAUUACCCUCUGUCUCACUCAGUGCCACAAUGGUGAUAGCACGAAGAAGUUCUUUUGCAUGUUGCAAACAUUGUGACUUAAGAAGCUGUGCUAUUGACCUAACAAAGAAAUCCUUAACACGAGGUCUUUUGUU